rnacentral:rRNA from 1 species
ACGCUCGACACCUACGGGAGGCAGCAGUGGGGAAUAUUGCACAAUGGGGGAAACCCUGAUGCAGCGACGCCGCGUGGGUGAAGAAGUAUUUCGGUAUGUAAAGCCCUAUCAGCAGGGAAGAAGAUGACAGUACCUGACUAAGAACGCCCCGGCUAACUACGUGCAAGCAGCCGCGGUAAUCUGAGCGGGCUGGCAAGC